ensembl:lncRNA
GUUUCAGUGCAUUCUGUUGAUGUAGACGACGUGAAAACGGAAACAAGUAUGCCGUCUCACUGUGCUGCAUAUAGUUACACACUACGUCGUACGAUUGAGACAAGGAAACUUGGAAUGACUUUUCAUAGGUUUCCCAGAGACUAUGGGUUGAGGAGGAAGUGGAAGUUUGUCGGCUUAGACCUGGUGUCAUUCCAUCAGUGUUAAACUUCCCGGCUCAUCUUGGAAGAGUACGUGCCAGAAAGACCACGACCAAGCAGCCUUGAGAUCUUAGACAGCGUCUCCCUGAGACCAAAGAACUACAGACUCUUCACAACCUGCUCAAACUCUUGGUACAGGACCUCACCACACGGGUCAAGAAGGUUUCCAUCUCAUUUCUACUCUGAAGCUCACCUUCUCCUGCUCAAACUGCUGACAAAUGUUUCUGCUGCUCUGAAGUCUGGUCUCCAGAACUUCCUAAAAACUCUCAAAGUCUCUUCUGCUGCAGGUUGCUUUGUAGAACUGUUCCAGAAAACCUCACUAAACCACAUGGAGGGGCCUCAAGAUAGUCGUCCAAAUGAAACCAUACAAAAACCAAACUAGCACAACCCAAAUGCUAAAGUCUCCUGCAGCCUACCAGAGAACCUUGAGAACAGAGAAUCAGGACAGGAACUCUUACCUUCUGGACAACCAACGCUGGUUCUCAAACAAGAACACAGAAUGUGUCUGACCAAAAACCUCUAAAGACUCACUACAGCCAAGAUAAAGACACAGCUGCACCAAAUCUAUUAAUCACUGCACACAUUACCACCAUGUGCUAACUGUGGCUAAAGAACCUCAUUUACCAAGACAACUAUCCAGUACAAAGCCCUACAACACACCAAGAAACACAUUAAAGACGAUUUUACUGCUGGAAGCUGCAAGCCAAUGCCUAAACAACAAACUAAAGCAACGAAGCCAAACCCAGUUCAGUGGUGAACAGAAGCAGAGGAAAUGUUUGUCUGCAGCUAAAUAAAGCAGGAAGACACUGAGCUGCUCAGGUGUUCCUGAUAACACCAACCAGCUGCUCAGGUGUUCCUGAUAACACCAAGCAGCCACCUGGACAGCCAAUAGGAACACAGCUUCCUGGAAGUCCAGAGGGCUGGCUUAGUGAAGGAAAUUUAGUUUAAAGUUGAAGCAGAAAGUUAAUAAAGAAAGUUGAAAACCACCUUCUGAUACCUGAAAUCUCUGAGUUUUCACACAAAGAACACCUGAACAUGUCAAACUGGUUCCAUAGUAGAACCAUCAUUGUAAAAACAUCAUAGUAUGGUGUGUUGCUCAAAAAACAUUAG